rnacentral:rRNA from 1 species
GACGAACGCUGGCGGCGUGCUUAACACAUGCAAGUCGAACGAAGUGGCGAACGGGUGAGUAACGCGUAAUCAACCUGCCCUUCAGAGGGGGACAACAGUUGGAAACGACUGCUAAUACCGCAUACUGAAGGAGGGGAUUGCGUCUGAUUAGCUAGUUGGGGGGGUAACGGCCCACCAAGGCGAGGAUCCGUAGCCGGUCUGCGAGGAUGAACGGCCACAUUGGGACUGUGACACGGGCCAGACUCCUAAGGGAAGGAGCAGUGGGGAAUUUUCCGCAAUGGACGAAAGUCUGACGGAGCAACGCCGCGUGAGUGAUGGCGGCCUUCGGGUUGUAAAGCUCUGUUAAUCGGGACGCGGUACCGGAAUAGAAAGCCACGGCUAACUACGUGCCAGCAGCCGCGGUAAUAC